GGUUAAGCGACUAAGCGUACACGGUGGAUGCCCUGGCAGUCAGAGGCGAUGAAGGACGUGCUAAUCUGCGAUAAGCGUCGGUGAGGUGAUAUGAACCGUUAUAACCGGCGAUUUCCGAAUGGGGAAACCCAGUGUGUUUCGACACACUAUCAUUAACUGAAUCCAUAGGUUAAUGAGGCGAACCGGGGGAACUGAAACAUCUAAGUACCCCGAGGAAAAGAAAUCAACCGAGAUUCCCCCAGUAGCGGCGAGCGAACGGGGAGGAGCCCAGAGCCUGAAUCAGUGUGUGUGUUAGUGGAAGCGUCUGGAAAGGCGCGCGAUACAGGGUGACAGCCCCGUACACAAAAAUGCACAUAUUGUGAGCUCGAUGAGUAGGGCGGGACACGUGGUAUCCUGUCUGAAUAUGGGGGGACCAUCCUCCAAGGCUAAAUACUCCUGACUGACCGAUAGUGAACCAGUACCGUGAGGGAAAGGCGAAAAGAACCCCGGCGAGGGGAGUGAAAAAGAACCUGAAACCGUGUACGUACAAGCAGUGGGAGCCUCUUAAUGGGGUGACUGCGUACCUUUUGUAUAAUGGGUCAGCGACUUAUAUUCUGUAGCAAGGUUAACCGAAUAGGGGAGCCGAAGGGAAACCGAGUCUUAACUGGGCGUUAAGUUGCAGGGUAUAGACCCGAAACCCGGUGAUCUAGCCAUGGGCAGGUUGAAGGUUGGGUAACACUAACUGGAGGACCGAACCGACUAAUGUUGAAAAAUUAGCGGAUGACUUGUGGCUGGGGGUGAAAGGCCAAUCAAACCGGGAGAUAGCUGGUUCUCCCCGAAAGCUAUUUAGGUAGCGCCUCGUGAAUUCAUCUCCGGGGGUAGAGCACUGUUUCGGCAAGGGGGUCAUCCCGACUUACCAACCCGAUGCAAACUGCGAAUACCGGAGAAUGUUAUCACGGGAGACACACGGCGGGUGCUAACGUCCGUCGUGAAGAGGGAAACAACCCAGACCGCCAGCUAAGGUCCCAAAGUCAUGGUUAAGUGGGAAACGAUGUGGGAAGGCCCAGACAGCCAGGAUGUUGGCUUAGAAGCAGCCAUCAUUUAAAGAAAGCGUAAUAGCUCACUGGUCGAGUCGGCCUGCGCGGAAGAUGUAACGGGGCUAAACCAUGCACCGAAGCUGCGGCAGCGACACUAUGUGUUGUUGGGUAGGGGAGCGUUCUGUAAGCCUGUGAAGGUGGCCUGUGAGGGUUGCUGGAGGUAUCAGAAGUGCGAAUGCUGACAUAAGUAACGAUAAAGCGGGUGAAAAGCCCGCUCGCCGGAAGACCAAGGGUUCCUGUCCAACGUUAAUCGGGGCAGGGUGAGUCGACCCCUAAGGCGAGGCCGAAAGGCGUAGUCGAUGGGAAACAGGUUAAUAUUCCUGUACUUGGUGUUACUGCGAAGGGGGGACGGAGAAGGCUAUGUUGGCCGGGCGACGGUUGUCCCGGUUUAAGCGUGUAGGCUGGUUUUCCAGGCAAAUCCGGAAAACCAAGGCUGAGGCGUGAUGACGAGGCACUACGGUGCUGAAGCGACAAAUGCCCUGCUUCCAGGAAAAGCCUCUAAGCAUCAGGUAACAUCAAAUCGUACCCCAAACCGACACAGGUGGUCAGGUAGAGAAUACCAAGGCGCUUGAGAGAACUCGGGUGAAGGAACUAGGCAAAAUGGUGCCGUAACUUCGGGAGAAGGCACGCUGAUAUGUAGGUGAAGCGACUUGCUCGUGGAGCUGAAAUCAGUCGAAGAUACCAGCUGGCUGCAACUGUUUAUUAAAAACACAGCACUGUGCAAACACGAAAGUGGACGUAUACGGUGUGACGCCUGCCCGGUGCCGGAAGGUUAAUUGAUGGGGUUAGCGGUAACGCGAAGCUCUUGAUCGAAGCCCCGGUAAACGGCGGCCGUAACUAUAACGGUCCUAAGGUAGCGAAAUUCCUUGUCGGGUAAGUUCCGACCUGCACGAAUGGCGUAAUGAUGGCCAGGCUGUCUCCACCCGAGACUCAGUGAAAUUGAACUCGCUGUGAAGAUGCAGUGUACCCGCGGCAAGACGGAAAGACCCCGUGAACCUUUACUAUAGCUUGACACUGAACAUUGAGCCUUGAUGUGUAGGAUAGGUGGGAGGCUUUGAAGUGUGGACGCCAGUCUGCAUGGAGCCGACCUUGAAAUACCACCCUUUAAUGU
rnacentral:rRNA from 1 species